rnacentral:tRNA from 2 species
UUAUGUUUUGGUGUAUAGGCACAUAAAGUUUUGAUCUUUAGAGAAUUGGUGCAAUUCCAUUAAAUAUAAA